rnacentral:rRNA from 1 species
AGAGUUUGAUCCUGGCUCAGAGUGAACGCUGGCGGCAGGCCUAACACAUGCAAGUCGAGCGGCAGCGGGUCCUUCGGGAUGCCGGCGAGCGGCGGACGGGUGAGGAAUGCAUCGGAAUCUGCCUUUUUGUGGGGGAUAACGUAGGGAAACUUACGCUAAUACCGCAUACGACCGGCCAUCGACAGGUGGUUGGUGAAAGUGGGGGACCUUCGGGCCUCACGCGGAAAGAGGAGCCGAUGCCGGAUUAGCUGGUUGGUGGGGUAAAGGCCUACCAAGGCGACGAUCCGUAGCUGGUCUGAGAGGAUGAUCAGCCACACUGGGACUGAGACACGGCCCAGACUCCUACGGGAGGCAGCAGUGGGGAAUAUUGGACAAUGGGCGCAAGCCUGAUCCAGCCAUGCCGCGUGUGUGAAGAAGGCCUUCGGGUUGUAAAGCACUUUUGUUGGGGAAGAAAGCUGCCGGGCGAAUACCCUGGCGGGAUGACGGUACCCAAAGAAUAAGCACCGGCUAACUUCGUGCCAGCAGCCGCGGUAAUAC